GAUGAACGCUGGCGGCGUGCCUAAUACAUGCAAGUCGAGCGAAUGGAUUAAGAGCUUGCUCUUAUGAGGUUAGCGGCGGACGGGUGAGUAACACGUGGGUAACCUGCCCAUAAGACUGGGAUAACUCCGGGAAACCGGGGCUAAUACCGGAUAACAUUUUGAACCGCAUGGUUCGAAAUUGAAAGGCGGCUUCGGCUGUUACUUAUGGAUGGACCCGGGUCGCAUUAGCUAGUUGGUGAGGUAACGGCUCACCAAGGCAACGAUGCGUAGCCGACCUGAGAGGGUGAUCGGCCACACUGGGACUGAGACACGGCCCAAACUCCUACGGGAGGCAGCAGUAGGGAAUCUUCCGCAAUGGACGAAAGUCUGACGGAGCAACGCCGCGUGAGUGAUGAAGGCUUUCGGGUCGUAAAACUCUGUUGUUAGGGAAGAACAAGUGCUAGUUGAAUAAGCUGGCACCUUGACGGUACCUAACCAGAAAGCCACGGCUAACUACGUGCCAGCAGCCGCCGUAA
rnacentral:rRNA from 1 species